rnacentral:rRNA from 1 species
AUUGAACGCUGGCGGCAUGCUUUACACAUGCAAGUCGAACGGUAGAGGGGGCAACCCCUUGAGAGUGGCGAACGGGUGAGUAAUGCAUCGGAACGUGCCCAGUCGUGGGGGAUAACGCAGCGAAAGCUGUGCUAAUACCGCAUACGAUCUCUGGAUGAAAGCGGGGGACCGAAAGGCCUCGCGCGAUUGGAGCGGCCGAUGUCAGAUUAGGUAGUUGGUGGGGUAAAGGCUCACCAAGCCAACGAUCUGUAGCUGGUCUGAGAGGACGACCAGCCACACUGGGACUGAGAAACGGCCCAGACUCCUACGGGAGGCAGCAGUGGGGAAUUUUGGACAAUGGGCGCAAGCCUGAUCCAGCAAUGCCGCGUGCAGGAAGAAGGCCUUCGGGUUGUAAACUGCUUUUGUACGGAACGAAAAGGUCUGGUUAAUACCCUGGGCACAUGACGGUACCGUAAGAAUAAGCACCGGCUACCUACGUGCCAGCCGCCGCGGUAA